rnacentral:rRNA from 1 species
GACGAACGCUGGCGGCGUGCUUAACACAUGCAAGUCGAACGGAAAGGCCCUGCUUUUGUGGGGUGCUCGAGUGGCGAACGGGUGAGUAACACGUGAGUAACCUGCCCUUGACUUUGGGAUAACUUCAGGAAACUGGGGCUAAUACCGGAUAGGAGCUCCUGCUGCAUGGUGGGGGUUGGAAAGUUUCGGCGGUUGGGGAUGGACUCGCGGCUUAUCAGCUUGUUGGUGGGGUAGUGGCUUACCAAGGGUUUGACGGGUAGCCGGCCUGAGAGGGUGACCGGGCACAUUGGGACUGAGGUAGGGACCAGACGGCAACGGGAGGCAGCAGGGGGGAAUAUGGCACAGUGGGAGGAAGCCUGAUGAGGCGGCGCCGCGUGCGGGAUGACGGCCUGCGGGUUGUAAACCGCUUUAGCCUGUGACGAAGCGUGAGUGACGGUAAUGGAUAAAGAAGCACCGGCUAACUACGUG